UACGGAGGGUGCAAGCGUUAAUCGGAAUUACUGGGCGUAAAGCGCACGUAGGUGGUUUGCUAAGUCAGCUGUGAAAUCCCCGGGCUCAACCUGGGCACUGCAGUUGAAACUGGCAAGCUAGAGUAGGGUAGAGGGGUGUGGAAUUCCAGGUGUAGCGGUGAAAUGCGUAGAUAUCUGGAGGAACACCGGUGGCGAAGGCGGCGAUCCUGGACCAACACUGACGCUGAGGAGCGAAAGCCAGGGGAGCAAAGCGGG
rnacentral:rRNA from 1 species